GGACCAUCCUCCAAGGCUAAAUACUCCUGACUGACCGAUAGUGAACCAGUACCGUGAGGGAAAGGCGAAAAGAACCCCGGCGAGGGGAGUGAAAAAGAACCUGAAACCGUGUACGUACAAGCAGUGGGAGCACGCUUAGGCGUGUGACUGCGUACCUUUUGUAUAAUGGGUCAGCGACUUAUAUUCUGUAGCAAGGUUAACCGAAUAGGGGAGCCGAAGGGAAACCGAGUCUUAACUGGGCGUUAAGUUGCAGGGUAUAGACCCGAAACCCGGUGAUCUAGCCAUGGGCAGGUUGAAGGUUGGGUAACACUAACUGGAGGACCGAACCGACUAAUGUUGAAAAAUUAGCGGAUGACUUGUGGCUGGGGGUGAAAGGCCAAUCAAACCGGGAGAUAGCUGGUUCUCCCCGAAAGCUAUUUAGGUAGCGCCUCGUGAAUUCAUCUCCGGGGGUAGAGCACUGUUUCGGCAAGGGGGUCAUCCCGACUUACCAACCCGAUGCAAACUGCGAAUACCGGAGAAUGUUAUCACGGGAGACACACGGCGGGUGCUAACGUCCGUCGUGAAGAGGGAAACAACCCAGACCGCCAGCUAAGGUCCCAAAGUCAUGGUUAAGUGGGAAACGAUGUGGGAAGGCCCAGACAGCCAGGAUGUUGGCUUAGAAGCAGCCAUCAUUUAAAGAAAGCGUAAUAGCUCACUGGUCGAGUCGGCCUGCGCGGAAGAUGUAACGGGGCUAAACCAUG
rnacentral:rRNA from 1 species